AAAAAAGGGAGAAGAGGCGAAAGAAAGAGUCGUCAUCUCCGACAUGGCAACAGCAACUGCAGUGCACUACUUGUCACCAGCUGCAUUUUUCGUCGUACCACCAGUUUGCAAUCAUGGAGAAUGGUGCGUACUGCUGUUCGGUGUCGUAUCGUUGAUGGCUGGGUCGACCACUGGUGUACCGAUGCCUUGUGGGUAUGGUGGAUAUCAAACCGCAACGCCGCUGUCUUACUACAAAACAAUAUCAAACCCAACGACCAGUUACUACACCACUAUCCACCAGAGUGUAACCCACAACUUACGAUGCCCCGAACUACUACACCGAAGCCCCAAAAUAUAACUCUGCCCCGAGUUACACCACGAAGGGAGCGGAGUACUACACCAAAAAGGGAGCGGAGUACUACACCACGAAGUAUGCUGCCCCAGUCUUCUAGACCGAGGCUCCCAAGUACACCACAAACUACGCUUCUGCAACUUGCUACAUGGAGGUUUCUAAAUGCUAGAGCCGAAAUUUCCAUUUAAUUUUAUUUAUAUUUGUCGGUUGUCUUCAUCGUCAUUGGUCACUGGGAAUUAAUUUUUUAUCUCAAAUGAGAAAAUAAAAAUUCUAAUGCGGGUAA